UCCACGCCCUAAACGAUGAAUGCUAGUCGUCGGGAAGCUCGUCUUUUCGGUGACGCACUUAACAGAUUAAGCAUUCCGCCUGGGGAGUACGGUCGCAAGAUUAAAACUCAAAGGAAUAGACGGGGACCCGCACAAGUGGUGGAGCAUGUGGUUUAAUUCGAAGAUACACGAAGAACCUUACCUGGCCUUGACAUCCCAAGAACUUUCCAGAGAUGGAUUGGUGCUAGCUUGCUAGAACUUGGUGACAGGUGCUGCACGGCUGUCGUCAGCUCGUGUCGUGAGAUGUUGGGUUAAGUCCCGCAACGAGCGCAACCCUGUCCUU
rnacentral:rRNA from 1 species